rnacentral:rRNA from 1 species
UACGUAGGGUGCAAGCGUUAAUCGGAAUUACUGGGCGUAAAGCGUGCGCAGGCGGUUCGUUGUGUCGGCGGUGAAAGCCCCGGGCUUAACCUGGGAAUGGCCGUUGAAACUGGCGAACUGGAGUGUGGCAGAGGGGGGUAGAAUUCCACGUGUAGCAGUGAAAUGCGUAGAGAUGUGGAGGAAUACCGAUGGCGAAGGCAGCCCCCUGGGAUGAUACUGACGCUCAUGCACGAAAGCGUGGGGAGCAAACAGG